rnacentral:rRNA from 1 species
GACGAACGCUGGCGGCGUGCUUAACACAUGCAAGUCGAACGGAAAGGCCUCUUUCGGGGGGUACUCGAGUGGCGAACGGGUGAGUAACACGUGAGUAACCUGCCCUUGACUUUGGGAUAACUUCAGGAAACUGGGGCUAAUACCGGAUAGGACCUCCUGCUGCAUGGUGGGGGUUGGAAAGUUUCGGCGGUUGGGGAUGGACUCGCGGCUUAUCAGCUUGUUGGUGGGGUAGUGGCUUACCAAGGCUUUGACGGGUAGCCGGCCUGAGAGGGUGACCGGCCACAUUGGGACUGAGAUACGGCCCAGACUCCUACGGGAGGCAGCAGUGGGGAAUAUUGCACAAUGGGUGGAAGCCUGAUGCAGCAACGCCGUGUGCGGGAUGACGGCCUUCGGGUUGUAAACCGCUUUCGCUCAUGACGAAGCUUUGUGUGACGGUAGUGGGUAAAGAAGCACCGGCUAACUACGUG